rnacentral:rRNA from 1 species
UUAUGCUGAUAAGAGCGUAUGGUGGAUGCCUUGGCACUAAGAGCCGAUGAAAGACGUGAUAAGCUGCGAAAAGCUUCGGGGAGGAGCAAAUAUCCUUUGAUCCGGAGAUUUCUGAAUGGGGAAACCUACUUGAGCAAACCUCAAGUAUCCUUAAGCCAAUACAUAACUUAAGGAAGGGAACCCGGUGAACUGAAACAUCUAAGUAGCCGGAGGAAGAGAAAACAACAUGUGAUUCUGUGAGUAGCGGCGAGCGAAAACGGAAGAGCCCAAACCAGCGUGCGUGCAUGCUGGGGUUCGGACCGCGGAAUUGAUUCAACAAGUUUAGCAGAACGGUUUUGGGAAAGCCGGCCAGAGAGGGUGAAAGCCCCGUAAGCGAAAGACGAGUUGACAUGGCGGGAUCCAGAGUACCACGAGACACGUGGAACCUUGUGGGAAGAUGCGGGGACCACCCCGUAAGGCUAAAUACUACUUAGUGACCGAUAGCGCAUAGUACUGUGAAGGAAAGGUGAAAAGGACCCCGGGAGGGGAGUGAAAAAGAACCUGAAACCAUAUGUUUACAAGCUGUGGAAGAGCUUUAUAUGCUCAACCGCGUACUUUUUGUAGAACGGUCCGGCGAGUUACGCUGGCUGGCGAGGUUAAGGACUAAAGGUCCGGAGCCGAAGGGAAACCAAGUCUGAAUAGGGCGCAUAGUCAGUCGGAGUAGACCCGAAACCGGGUGAUCUAUCCAUGUCCAGGUUGAAGUUGCCGUAAAAGGCAAUGGAGGACCGAACCCACAUCCGUUGAAAAGGGUGGGGAUGAGGUGUGGAUAGGGGAGAAAUUCCAAUCGAACCCGGAGAUAGCUGGUUCUCCUCGAAAUAGCUUUAGGGCUAGCCUCGUAUUAGUUUAGCGGAGGUAGAGCACUGAAUUCCUAAGGGGGCGUCAAAGCUUACCAAGGGAUAUCAAACUCCGAAUGCCGCAUAAAUGAUGUACGGGAGUCAGACUGCACGAGAUAAGUUGGGCAGUCAAAAGGGAAAGAGCCCAGACCUACAGCUAAGGUCCCAAAGUGUGUGUUAAGUGGAAAAGGAUGUGGGAUUUCAGAGACAACCAGGAUGUUGGCUUAGAAGCAGCCACACAUUCAAAGAGUGCGUAAUAGCUCACUGGUCGAGAGGUCCUGCGCCGAAAAUGUCCGGGGCUGAAACACAACACCGAAGCUUAGGAACGAGAGAUCGUUGGUAGAGGAGCAUUCUUAAAGGGGCGAAGCAGUACCGGCAAGGAGCUGUGGACUUUUAAGAAGAGAGAAUGCCGGAAUGAGUAGCGAGAUGGAGGUGGGAAUCCUCCAGGCCGAAUAUCCAAGGUUUCCAGAGUAAAGCUGAUCUGCUCUGGGUAAGUCGGGGCCUAAGGUAAGGCUGAGAAGCGUAGCCGAUGGACAACAGGUUGAGAUUCCUGUACCGCGUAUCAUCAGAACUGUGGGGACACAGAAGGACAGCACAACCCGGGAAUGGAAAGACCGGGGCAAGCAGGGUAGGAGUUAAGCUGGCAAAUCCGCUUAACAAUCCGAAGCUGUGAUGCGGAGCGAAUUUAAGUAGCGAAGUGUGCGAUUCCAGCUGUCAAGAAAAGCCGCUAUUGUGUGAUACGUGCCCGUACCGUAAACCGACACAGGUAGAUGAGGAGAGAAUCCUAAGGCCGGCGGGAGAAGCAUUGUUAAGGAACUCGGCAAAAUGACCCUGUAACUUCGGGAGAAAGGGUGCCUGGGAAACCAGGCCGCAGAGAAUAGGCUCAAGCAACUGUUUAGCAAAAACACAGGUCUAUGCAAAACCGUAAGGUGAGGUAUAUGGGCUGACGCCUGCCCGGUGCUGGAAGGUUAAGAGGAGAGGUUAGAGCAAUCGAAGCUUUGAAUUUAAGCCCCAGUAAACGGCGGCCGUAACUAUAACGGUCCUAAGGUAGCGAAAUUCCUUGUCGGG